GCUGGGCAUGGUGGCUCAUGCCUGUAAUCCUAGCACUUUGGGAGGCCGAGGUGGGCGGAUCAUCUGAGGUCAGGAGUUCAGGACCAGCCUGACCAACAUGGAGAAACCCCGUCUCUA
ensembl:misc_RNA Metazoa_SRP Metazoan signal recognition particle RNA